GAUGAACGCUGGCGGCAUGCCUAAUACAUGCAAGUCGAGCGAACGGACGAGAAGCUUGCUUCUCUGAUGUUAGCGGCGGACGGGUGAGGAACACGUGGAUAACCUACCUAUAAGACUGGGAUAACUUCGGAAAACCGGAGCUAAUACCGGAUAAUAUUUUGAACCGCAUUGUUCAAAAGUGAAAGACGGUCUUGGUGUCACUUAUAGAUGGAUCCGCGCUGCAUUAGCUAGUUGGUAAGGUAACGGCUUACCAAGGCAACGAUGCAUAGCCGACCUGAGAGGGUGAUUGGACACCUUGGAACUGAGACACGGUCCAGACUCCUACGGGAGGCAGCAGUCGGGAAUCUUCCGCGAUGGGCGAAAGCCUGACGGAGCAACGCCGCGUGAGUGAUGAAGGUCCUCUGAUCGUAAAACUCUGUUAUUAGGGAAGAACAUAUGUGUAAGUAACUGUGCACAUCUUGACGGUACCUAAUCAGAAAGCCACGGCUAACUACGUG
rnacentral:rRNA from 1 species